rnacentral:lncRNA from 1 species
AUGGCUGCAGAGCGGCCGGCUGGGAUCUUAGAUAGGAGGGGUGGAUUUGCAAGGCCUAGAAUAGCUGGGGAGUGGUUUCCCCGCGGAAUCGGCCUCCCUGCCGCUCCUGCUUUGUACUGUGACGCUCAGCCUGUGAUGACUGGUGUGGAAUCCGCUGAGCCACCUUGGCCUAAGGAGACUUUACCACUCUGAGAUUGUAAAUCUGUAAAAUAGAGAUGUAGGAUUAGCCCAUACGGUAGUUGUGGUAAAUACUGUGAGACAAUAAGGGGCCUGGGACACAGCAUUCAAAUGGGAAUAAUGAAGGUCAAGACUGUGAUUCCUGUAUCUUUGACGCUCUCGGUAUAAGCACCGUCGUGGGCACAGGGCAGUGGCCUUUAUGCAGGAGUUUAAGAGGGAAUGAAGGAAUGAAUGGGCAAACUCUGGAGUUCCCAAGUAUUCUCUCCAGGAGCUGUUUCCAUUCUUUUCGUUUCCAGCAGAUUCAAGAGGCAAUUGUUGGAAUGUAAAAAGAGCACGGGACUUGGAGUCAAAUACUUAAGUCUACCAUCAAGUAGUUGUUAAGAAUUAAACAACAAUUUUUGUGUACCCAGUUAAAUGUGGGCUGCUUAGGAAUGAUGACUGUGUCUUAAUGAUCUCUGUAUUCUUAGUGACAUGUAGAAUCAUUGUGCCUGACACAUAGUAUGUACUCAGGAAAGAAAUGGAAAAUGUGGUUUUAGCAUUGAAGGCCGGGAGAGAGGGUCUAACAGACUACAAGCCCUGCCAGGAGCAGAGUAAGGGAAACAGAGGAGAAAAGUGUUUUUAGUCUGUGCCUGAAUGUAUUUACAUCUGUUUGUAGCCCAAAAGCCAAAAGCAUACAUACGCUUGGCUUUUCUGUAGCUAUGUUUAUGGCUUUACAGCAGAUUUUAUGGAGCUGCAAUUACUUUGAUCAUGAGGGACUGAUGCUAGUGGAUUUACUUCACCAAAUGGAACUCACUUUGUGGCUUCUGAAGAAGGGACCUUUGUGGACUGUCAUGGAGUAGUUAAGAGUGCAGGCUCUGAUUUAGUGAUCAGAGUCUGCAUUGUCAGGAAUGGGACAAAGUGAAGUUAUGUGGCACUUGAUAGGAUGCCCUGAGAAGAUUGCAACAUCACCCCUGUGAUAUUCCUGCUGAAGAUCCAUAACCUGGAUGUAAUCAUGAGGAUAUAUCAGACAAACCCACGUAAAGAGACAUGCUGUAUACAAAACUGUAAUCUUAGAAAGUGCCAAGGUCAUGAAAAUCAAAGAUAGACCCUGGAACUGUUCCAAACUGGAGGGGACCAAAGAGGCAUGACAACUAAACACAACACAUGAUUCUGAACUGGAUCUUUUUGCUUGAAAGGAAGUUACAGGGACAGUUGGAAAAGUUUAAAUGGGGCCUACAAUGCCGUGGUAAUGAUGUGUCCGUGUUAAUUUCCUGAUUUUCAUGGUUGCCUGUUAAGUUACAUCAGAGGAUGUUCUUGUUUGCUGGAAAGUAAAUCAAUGUAUUUGGCAGGGGAUAAGGCAUCAAAUGGUCACCUUAAUUUCAAAUUAUUACAGGGAAAAUGUUUCUCUCUGUACUUAAUAACUUUUUUGCAAUUUCUUAAAAUGAAAGCUCUGGAGUAAAAACUUCAAGGAUCCAAAU